GCACUAACAUAUCCCUUAUUUUCAAGUCAUUUAUUUUAAAUAUGUCAUUAAAUAUGUAUUGAUAUGCCAUAUUCUUAAAAAUAGUACAAUAUUAGUAAUACACGUUCCAAGUUUCACCUUGUUACACCUGAAUUCUGAAUUUAAAAAGAAAAAACAAAACAAGAAAAAACAAAACCAAAAAAAAACAUGAAAACAUUGCAUGGCAUCCAUGAGCCAGAGCCCCUGGGAUGUGAAAAUGAGAGAAUGUUCUGAAUGAGAUGAAAGGAAAACAGAAUGAAAGGAAGAGAAUGGAAGAGAUUCAGCGGGAGACGGGCUGGACCCCACAGACAUGCUGCAGACCCCCUUCACUUCACACAAAAAUAACAAAACAAAAAGCAGAAGCAGCAAGCUUUCCCUGCCAGGGUGGAGAAUGAAGCCAAAAACCUAGCUCAGGUAAACUCAGGUGUGUCACAGGUAAAUCUGGCUCAGGUAAACUCAGAUGUCACACAGGUUAACCUGGCACAGGUAAACUCAGGUGUAGCACAGGUAAAUCUGGCUCAGGUAAACUCAGGUGUCACACAGGUAAACCUGGCACAGGUAAACUCAGGUGUGUCACACAGGUAAACCUGGUUCAGGUAAACUCAGGUGUCACAGGUAAACCUGGCUCAGGUAAACUCAGGUGUGUCACACAGGUAAACUCAGGUGUCACACAGGUAAACCCGGCUCAGGUAAACUCAGGUGUGUCACACAGGUAAACUCAGGUGUGUCACACAGGUAAACCCGGCUCAGGUAAACUCAGGUGUCACACAGGUAAACCCGGCUCAGGUAAACUCAGGUGUGUCACACAGGUAAACUCAGGUGUCACACAGGUAAACCCGGCUCAGGUAAACUCAGGUGUCACACAGGUAAACCCGGCUCAGGUAAACUCAGGUGUCACACAGGUAGACCUGGCUCGGGUCGCUCAGUC